GAGGAAAAGAAGACCAACAGGGAUUGCCUUAGUAACGGCGAGUGAAGCGGCAAAAGCUCAAAUUUGAAAGCCAGCACCCAGCCAGGUGCUCGCGUUGUAAUUUGAAGAAGGUAACUUUGGAGCUGGCCCCCGUCUAUGUUCCUUGGAACAGGACGUCACAGAGGGUGAGAAUCCCGUCUGGCGGGGAGAUCCAGUUCUAUGUAAAGUGCUUUCGAAGAGUCGAGUUGUUUGGGAAUGCAGCUCUAAGUGGGUGGUAAAUUCCAUCUAAAGCUAAAUAUUGGCGAGAGACCGAUAGCGAACAAGUACAGUGAUGGAAAGAUGAAAAGAACUUUGAAAAGAGAGUGAAAAAGUACGUGAAAUUGUUGAAAGGGAAGGGCAUUAGAUCAGACUUGGUGUUUUGUGAUUAUCCUCCUCUUGUAGGGGGUGCACUCGCGCUGCACUGGGCCAGCAUCGAUUUGUGCGGCAGGAGAAUGGCAGUGGGAACGUGGCUUACCUCGGGUGAAGUGUUAUAGCCCUCUGCUGAUGCUGCCUGCGUAGAUCGAGGACUGCGUCUUUUGACUAGGAUGCUGGCGUAAUGAUCUAAUGCCGCCCGUCUU
rnacentral:rRNA from 1 species